GAAGGGGAAGAGAUAGGAGAUGGCUGUAAUGGUGACUGAAGGACAGGAUUCAGGAGCAUCAGCAGAGCUAGAGAGGGAGAAGCAGGACCGCAGGAGGAGAGAGCUGGAAGUUGGUGGCGUAUCAGAUGGAAAGAAAAGGCAUCCCUCGGGAUGAAGGCUGUGAAUGAGAAGUGGAAAGAUAGAAUCUUCUACAGGUCAGGAGAGUGUGAGCCCCUUCCAUGCCAGUGACACCAGCCUGGCCAGUGCUGAUGAGGCUGCCAGCCCAGGGAAUACGCUUCUUCAUGGCCCUAGCGCCCCCAGAGCAGCAUCCCGUGCUCAGAGUCGGUCAGUGGGAAGAGGUUUGAGACAACAGCAGACAACUGAGUGUUAAAAGGAGGACAACAAGAGCAGAAAUGAAGGAUGCUGAAAUCUCAUUAUGGAGAGAUGUAGCAGAAAAAAACCCUGGUUUGGAAGUCACAAGGGCUAGGUCCAGAUCCUGGCUCUGCCACUUACUUCCCUGGGUGGGGGACCAGAGGCCAAAUGUAGAAGACUUCUCCCUUCUAAAGACAGAUGGAAUUUUUGAAGCCCCCCAAUCCUGUGUUAGCAGCA